rnacentral:rRNA from 1 species
UACGGAGGAUGCGAGCGUUAUCCGGAUUUAUUGGGUUUAAAGGGUGCGUAGGCGGAUCGUUAAGUCAGUGGUCAAAUUGAGGGGCUCAACCCCUUCCCGCCAUUGAAACUGGCGAUCUUGAGUGGAAGAGAAGUAUGCGGAAUGCGUGGUGUAGUGGUGAAAUGCAUAGAUAUCACGCAGAACCCCGAUUGCGAAGGCAGCAUGCCGGCUUCCGACUGACGCUGAAGCACGAAAGCGUGGGGAUCGAACAGG